UGCAGUCGACGGAAGUAGCAAUACUUUAGUGGCGGACGGGUGAGUAACGCGUGAGAAUCUGCCAAUCGGUUCGGGACAACCACUGGAAACGGUGGCUAAUACCGGAUGUGCCUUUCGGGGUGAAAGAUUUAUUGCCGAUUGAGGAGCUCGCGUCUGAUUAGCUAGUUGGUGGGGUAAAAGCCUACCAAGGCGACGAUCAGUAACUGGUCUGAGAGGAUGACCAGUCACACUGGGACUGAGACACGGCCCAGACUCCUACGGGAGGCAGCAGUGGGGAAUUUUCCGCAAUGGGCGAGAGCCUGACGGAGCAAGACCGCGUGAGGGACGAAGGCUCUUGGGUCGUAAACCUCUUUUCUCAGGGAAGAACACAAUGACGGUACCUGAGGAAUCAGCAUCGGCUAACUCCGUGCCAGCAGCCGCGGUAAUACGGAGGAUGCAAGCGUUAUCCGGAAUGAUUGGGCGUAAGCGUCCGUAGGUGGUCUUUCNAGUCUGCCGUCAAAGCUCGGGGCUUAACU
rnacentral:rRNA from 1 species